AUCAUUACCUAGAGUUGUAGGCUUUGCCUGCUAUCUCUUACCCAUGUCUUUUGAGUACCUUCGUUUCCUCGGCGGGUCCGCCCGCCGAUUGGACACAUUUAAACCCUUUGUAGUUGCAAUCAGCGUCUGAAAAACUUUAAUAGUUACAACUUUCAACAACGGAUCUCUUGGUUCUGGCAUCGAUGAAGAACGCAGCGAAAUGCGAUAAGUAGUGUGAAUUGCAGAAUUCAGUGAAUCAUCGAAUCUUUGAACGCACAUUGCGCCCCUUGGUAUUCCAUGGGGCAUGCCUGUUCGAGCGUCAUUUGUACCUUCAAGCUUUGCUUGGUGUUGGGUGUUUGUCUCGCCUCUGCGCGCAGACUCGCCUCAAAACAAUUGGCAGCCGGCGUAUUGAUUUCGGAGCGCAGUACAUCUCGCGCUUUGCACUCAUAACGACGACGUCCAAAAAGUACAUUUUUUACACUCUUGACCUCGGAUCAGGUAGGGAUACC
rnacentral:rRNA from 1 species